AGUCAGUGUGAAUAGUGCGGGUCGGCCCAUGAUCCAUGAUCCAAAGCAAUCAAAAUCCCAAACCUCUCUCGAAGCUAUCCACAGCACCACUCGUCGCUCCACCACUACUGGAAACAAGGCCGAUGAGCUUCCUUCUCUUUCUUCCUCUUCCAAAGCCUGACUCUCAUCGCUCCGAAACCCAACCAUGGCGAUUGGAUUCAGUUGAUGAGGAGGAGGAAGAGGUGGUUGGGCCGCCGAGACCACCGCCGGGGCUGAGUUUCGGUGAUUCGGAUUCAGAGGAAGAAGAAAAAGAGAAUCGGUAUCGGAUUCCGCUUAGUAAUGAGAUUGUGCUCAAAGCCCACACCAAGUUUUACCAGAUUUGAGUCAGAAAUCACACACACGCAGCUAGCCCUUUUCUUCAACAUGCAGUGGUAUGAACUUGCAAGGAUGAUAUGAUUACAAAAUCACUUCUUUUGGUCUAAUGUUACAGCCGUGGUUGAUAUACAGUACUAAUCUGUUAUGAUCUAAAAAAUAUGCUAGCAAUUUAUGCAACGAAUCUAAACACCACUCGCUACCAAAACUCUGAAUUGUCUCUUCAACUGAUCUUUGCCAGUUUACUGUGUAUAAUACAUCGCUGAGUGGCACUGUUUUUUUUUUAAAAAAAAAAUUAAAAAAAAAAAAGGGUUUCUGAUGUACAGUUUCAUCUGUUUACCUAACCAUGAAAAUAAUGAAAUUAAAAGCAUUUGGGACUCUUUCAUAUUAGAUUUUCCUGCUACCUUUGUUUCACCCUCUCUGUGUUUCUCUGUAUGUGUUUGCAUGCAAGUCAGCGUAUGUGUGUUUUAGGUUCUUAUUGUUUCGUCCGUAUUUUUAAAAGUUAAUACCGAACAAUAUAUGGUCAAUUCAACCAAACAUAAUUUAGUAUUACAAAUAAAUGAAGAUUGACCCUUUAAAAUGGUCGUAAUGAGAUAUACAGACAUGUAUGUUUUUCAUGUCUGUUCCCUUCUGCUAACAGAUCUUGAAAGUGUAUUAUCUUCAUUUCUCUUAUAAUUAUCCUUGUUUGCAUUGUUUUUGGAGUUUCAAAAAUCCAUAGAGAUAAACUGUAAAAUUCCUAUGAUAAAUAGAAAUACAAUGUAAUUGAUGCAUGUUAAAUAUUAGAUUUAAAUGUAAGCAAACUUAUUAAGAGCUCAUUGUCACCACCACCAUCUUAUGGUUAGUUGGAAUAGACACCAAAUGGUCAUUCAAUGGUAUGUGUAGGUUCGUUUUUUUUCCCUUAAUUUUAAAUGUUAAUAAGCAUAUCCAUGUCUAAUAUGUGUUAGUGAUGGGGUCAUCAAUGAGCUCUAACUCAAAUGACCUCCUCCUCUUGUAAAAGCAAAGUGGGGAGUGAGGUUGUGGAUUCAAAACAAAUUGCAUACAUAUGUAACUUACCAGUAAUACACACAUACAAACACACACAUCAGUGAUAGGUUCUUUAUACAUCACAUUGAGAUGAAUACAUAAUAUAUACAUAUAAUAGAUGGAAAUUGGAAGGUUGCUACUAACACCCUAGCAAAUAUUUAGACCGCAAAUUACAAAUAUUACGACUUAAUCACUUUUAACCUAAACUAGCAUUUACAUCAAAUGUAAGUGAUUAUCCAAUUUCAUAUAGAGCAAUAUGAAAUGCAGAAUAAAAAUGCAAACCACACUAAAAACACCAAAUGUAUUUUCAAAGAGGAAACCCCAACCACCCAGGCAGAAAACCCUCUUCGCAAAACCAUUGUCAAAUUUCCUCUAAUAAAUAGUUGUAGUACAACGUUACAAUAAAGACCCUCUAAGCCUAAGCUACCUAAAAUACUCAAGCCCUCCCAGCUUCUACUAACAACUGACUUCGUCAUGUACUUUGUUCACCUAGUCUUCGGAGUCCACGGGUUUAGUGGCCAACGGUAAACCGAGUCCUCUUGGGUUUGUGUUUUUGCUUCAAAUGUUUUCUACACCAAUCAACUCUCUAACACUCAAAUAUGUUGAAGAAUGUGAUGGUUAAAAUCUCCUUUCUAAGAUACGUCAAUGGUAAGAGGAAAAGAGAAGAGAGAAUGAAGCCUCGUUGCUCUGUUUCCCACAUCCUACUUCCAGAAUGUGCAAGUCUUGGAUUAUAUGACUGAGCUGGCCAAGAUAAAAAUUAAUGUGCUGGAAUUCUUUCUCUGAGCUAGUUGCAAGUAAGUCAUGAGUUGCACAGUAAAAAAGAUUCCUCUUUUAUCUGCAGCGUGUCUAUGUCGCGAUCAGGCAGGCUGCAAGUUCUUCUUUCUAGCAUCUUUAUCCAACACUUAAGUACAUCUACGAAUUUGAACAUAGGAAUAGAAAAUUUCUCUGGAGGAAGUAAAUACAAAAUAGUUUGUCACAAUUUUACAUGGGUGUUCUCAUCUUCUGAGUGUUUUGACCCUGCAUCUUUCCUGACUUCUAUUAUAGAUAUGUAUCCACUCUCUCUCUUUUCAUCGUUUGUAAUUCUUUACUAUAUUUGCAUGUAUAAAAGAAAAGAAAGAAAAAAAUAUAACUA